GAUGAAGAACGUAGCGAAAUGCGAUAAGUAAUGUGAAUUGCAGAAUUCAGUGAAUCAUCGAAUCUUUGAACGCACAUUGCGCCCCUCGGUAUUCCGGGGGGCAUGCCUGUUCGAGCGUCAUUUCAACCCUCGAGCCCCCCCGGGGGCCUCGGUGUUGGGGGACGGCACACCAGCCGCCCCCGAAAUGCAGUGGCGACCCCGCCGCAGCCUCCCCUGCGUAGUAGCACACACCUCGCACCGGAGCGCGGAGGCGGUCACGCCGUAAAACGCCCAACUUUCUUAGAGUUGACCUCGGAUCAGGUAGGAAUACCCGCUGAACUUAAGCAUAUCAAUAAGCGGAGGA
rnacentral:misc_RNA from 1 species